AGCAGCCGCGGUAAUUCCAGCUCCAAUAGCGUAUAUUAAAGUUGUUGCAGUUAAAAAGCUCGUAGUUGAAUUUCGGGAUCAAUAUGUUGGUCGUGCCUUGGUACGUACUGGCAUUAUUGAUUUCUACCUUCUGAAGAACCUCGAUGUCAUUAAUUUGGUGUCUUGGGGAAUCAGGACUGUUACUUUGAAAAAAUUAGAGUGUUUAAAGCAAGCUAACGCUUGAAUACAUUAGCAUGGAAUAAUGAAAUAGGACGUUCGAUCCUAUUUUGUUGGUUUCUAGGAUUGACGUAAUGAUUAAUAGGGAUAGUUGGGGGCAUUAGUAUUCAAUUGUCAGAGGUGAAAUUCUUGGAUUUAUUGAAGACUAACUACUGCGAAAGCAUUUGCCAAGGAUGUUUUCAUUAAUCAAGAACGAAAGUUAGGGGAUCGAAGACGAUCAGAUACCGUCGUAGUCUUAACCAUAAACUAUGCCGACUAGGGAUCGGAUGAUGUUAAUUUUUAAUGACUCAUUCGGCGCCUUAAC
rnacentral:rRNA from 1 species